CCUACGGGAGGCAGCAGUGAGGAAUAUUGGUCAAUGGACGAGAGUCUGAACCAGCCAAGUAGCGUGAAGGAUGACUGCCCUAUGGGUUGUAAACUUCUUUUAUAUGGGAAUAAAAUGUUCCACGUGUGGGAUUUUGUAUGUACCAUAUGAAUAAGGAUCGGCUAACUCCGUGCCAGCAGCCGCGGUAAUACGGAGGAUCCGAGCGUUAUCCGGAUUUAUUGGGUUUAAAGGGAGCGUAGGUGGAUUGUUAAGUCAGUUGUGAAAGUUUGCGGCUCAACCGUAAAAUUGCAGUUGAAACUGGCAGUCUUGAGUACAGUAAAGGUGGGCGGAAUUCGGGGUGUAGCGGUGAAAUGCUUAGAUAUCACGAAGAACUCCGAUUGCGAAGGCAGUUCACUGGACUGCAACUGACACUGAGGCUCGAAAGUGUGGGUAUCAAACAGGAUUAGAUACCCCAGUAGUC
rnacentral:rRNA from 1 species